GGAAAGUUUUAUUUUAGCUUAAAGGUUAGCUAAAUGUUUGUGCUUAUAUACGAGGCAUACUGGUUUUAUAGAGGAAAGUGUAGUAUAUAAUUUUAAGUAUUAGGUGUACCUAGACUUGGUAAUGUAUUUUAGUUUAAACUAAAUUUGUGCCAGCAGUAGCGGUUAUACAAAUUGUACGAGUUAAUUUAAUCGAGUAUAGUGUGAAGAAAGGGGGGAAUAUUUUAUGAUGUUUUUAGGUGAAAUUUUAUGUUUAUAUAAAUUCUAUAUGAAGGUUUUGAGGCUGGGAUGCUGGUUAUGAAACUAGGAUUAGAUACCCUGCUAUUAUUAGUGUUACUUAAUUGGCUUUAGUUAGUGUAAGAUAAGGUCUUUAAAAUUAAAAGAUUUGGCGGUAUUUUAGUCUGUUCAGAGGAACCUGUUACUUAAUCGAUAGUCCACGAUGACAGUUAUCUUCUUUAUUAAUUUAUAUAUCGUCGUUUGUAAAAAUUUUAUUAGAAUGUUAAUUUUUGUUUCUCAGAGAAAAUGACUUAUUUCAGAUCAAGGUGUAGUUUAUAGGUAGAUUGUGAUGGGUUACAUUUGUUUUACUAGUGGAUCUUUGUCUUGAAAUUAGGGUUAAAAUGGAUUUGAUAGUAAGGUUUUUAUUUAGGGGACUUGAUUUAGCUCUAAAAUAUGUACAUAUCGCCCGUCGCUUUCAUCUUAAGGUGAAAUAAGUCGUAACAUAGUAGGCUCACUGGAAAGUGAGCCUGGAAUGAG
rnacentral:ncRNA from 1 species